rnacentral:rRNA from 1 species
AUACGUAGGGGGCGAGCGUUGUUCGGAAUGAUUGGGCGUAAAGGGCGCGUAGGCGGCGCGGUAAGUCUGGAGUGAAAGUCCUGCUUUCAAGGUGGGAAUUGCUUUGGAUACUGCCGCGCUUGAGUGCAGGAGAGGUUAUCGGAAUUCCCGGUGUAGCGGUGAAAUGCGUAGAGAUCGGGAGGAACACCAGUGGCGAAGGCGGGUAACUGGACUGCAACGGACGCUGAGGCGCGAAAGUGUGGGGAGCAAACAGGAUUAGAUACCCUGGUAGUCCACACUGUAAACGAUGAAUGCUAGGUGUAAGAGGUAUCGACCCCUUUUGUGCCGGAGUCAACACAAUAAGCAUUCCGCCUGGGGAGUACGGCCGCAAGGUUGAAACUCAAAUGAAUUGACGGGG